rnacentral:rRNA from 1 species
UGGGGAAUUUUCCGCAAUGGGCGCAAGCCUGACGGAGCAAUACCGCGUGAGGGAGGAAGGCCCUCGGGUUGUAAACCUCUUUUCUGGGGGACGAAGAUUGACGGUACCUCAGGAAUAAGCCUCGGCACACUCCGAGCCAGCAGCGCCGGUAUGACGGGGGAUGCAAGCGUUCUCAGGUAUUACUGGGCGUAAAGGGUACGUAGGUGGUUGUUCGAGUCAGGUGUUGAAGCGUGCGGCUGAACGGCAUAU